rfam:Shewanella frigidimarina NCIMB 400, complete genome.
UCUGGAAACCAUAGAGCUGUGGCACCACCUGAUCCCAUUCCGAACUCAGAAGUGAAACACAGUAUCGCCGAUGGUAGUGUGGGGUCUCCCCAUGCGAGAGUAGGUCAUUUCCAGGC